UACAGAGGGUGCGAGCGUUGUCCGGAAUCACUGGGCGUAAAGGGCGCGUAGGCGGCUUGAUAAGGUUGCGGUGAAAGCCCGGGGCUCAACCCCGGGUCGGCCGUGGCAACUGUCGAGCUGGAGCACUGUAGAGGCAAGUGGAAUUCCCGGUGUAGCGGUGAAAUGCGCAGAUAUCGGGAGGAACACCAAUGGCGAAGGCAGCUUGCUGGGACGGUACUGACGCUGAGGCGCGAAAGCGUGGGGAGCAAACAGG
rnacentral:rRNA from 1 species